GGUAGAGUGACCGAGUGGUUAAGGUGCAUCGUUCAGGCUUGUUUAAGACUGUUCGCCGGUGUGUGUAAGCGCGCGGGUUCGAAUCCCGUCUCUGCCA